UAGGGAAUCUUCGGCAAUGGACGAAAGUCUGACCGAGCAACGCCGCGUGAGUGAAGAAGGUUUUCGGAUCGUAAAACUCUGUUGUUAGAGAAGAACAAGGACGUUAGUAACUGAACGUCCCCUGACGGUAUCUAACCAGAAAGCCACGGCUAACUACGUGCCAGCAGCCGCGGUAAUACGUAGGUGGCAAGCGUUGUCCGGAUUUAUUGGGCGUAAAGCGAGCGCAGGCGGUUACUUAAGUCUGAUGUGAAAGCCCCCGGCUCAACCGGGGAGGGUCAUUGGAGACUGGGAGACUUGAGUGCAGAAGAGGAGAGUGGAAUUCCAUGUGUAGCGGUGAAAUGCGUAGAUAUAUGGAGGAACACCAGUGGCGAAGGCGGCUCUCUGGUCUGUAACUGACGCUGAGGCUCGAAAGCGUGGGGAGCAAACAGG
rnacentral:rRNA from 1 species